GAAAAUUGUAUGACCGAUCAAGCGUACCAACUUAAAAACAAUGAUAGUUUGUGUAAUGUCACCGAUAGAACACCUUUUGGCGAAGAUAUAUGUUAUCUGUGGUUAAAUUAUUUUCUCUAAUCUAUGUCAUGCUUACCGCUAAUCCGCUUGGUCGCGAAAAAAUGGCAGAUCCGUUUUUGUUUUCUUUAGCUCAUUAUUAAUUACGUGAUCUACAACUAGAAUUAUUUAAAUAUUCGCUUUAUUUUAAUCUGCUUAAACAAUACGACAGGCAAUUCUGCGCCGACGCCGGUCAUGAACCGUCCAUAUUCGCCAUUUUGUCAUUUAGCAAACUAAGAAAAUGCAAACAAAACAUUAUUUGCCCUAAACACGCGUUACUUCUAAAUAAUUUUGUCGACAAAGUGAGCCUGUUUUAUCAAAUUGAACUCUGAACUGCAAUUGCAAUGUAAUUUUCCGUUAGCGAAAGUGAGGUUACGAAAUUGACAUGACAUUAUUGUUGGAAAAAAAAAACGUGAAUGCAAUGGACAUGUGUUUUGUUGUGUUUCUCAUCAAGAUAAUAGAAGAAUUUAGUGCUCAUACUCAUGAUCUAAUGAGCAAACAGCCCAUGCAAAGGAUGUAUUAUCGGGCUAUGCCUCAAUUGAUAAAGUGAACUAAUUGCCUACUUCAAAAGCAGUUUUGCAUGAAAGUUUCAACAUCUAAUUGGAAUUUCUCUGGAAAGUUUACAAUGUCCGAUAUUUCUACACAUCUGCCACAAAUUUAUGGAAAUCAAUAUUUAUAGAAACUGAACAUACCUUGGUUAAACGUAUAUGAAAUAGACAACCAUCAUCGAAGAACAUCAACCAGCUGUCGGCAACAUGCAGGUUGACUGAGGAAUCCCCAGUGCGUGGUCACGGACCGUUCCCCAUAUAUCUACUGACUUCAUAUAAAUGAAAGUCUCGCUGAUCUGCACUACCAGCUCAUGUUCAACGUUACUGAACAACAAAGUAAUCCGACAAUCAGACUGGACCCGGUCAUGUUAGAUACCAGUGGAAGGAGAUGAACAUACAAUUGACUCCGCAUCGAUGCAUGACUUCGCCCGGAACGCGGCAAGAACCAACAAUGGAAGAAAAACUACAGACGUGUUUAUUAACAAUAAAGUUAUUUUUGUUUUUAUGAAAUAGCGAUUGAAUAAAAAUAUUAGGUAUAUGA